CCUACGGGUGGCAGCAGUGGGGAAUAUUGGACAAUGGGGGCAACCCUGAUCCAGCCAUGCCGCGUGUGUGAAGAAGGCCCUCGGGUUGUAAAGCACUUUCAGUGAGGAAGAACGCCUGGUGGUUAAUACCCAUCAGGAAAGACAUCACUCACAGAAGAAGCACCGGCUAACUCCGUGCCAGCAGCCGCGGUAAUACGGAGGGUGCGAGCGUUAAUCGGAAUUACUGGGCGUAAAGCGCGCGUAGGUGGCUUGAUAAGCCGGUUGUGAAAGCCCCGGGCUCAACCUGGGAACGGCAUCCGGAACUGUCAAGCUAGAGUGCAGGAGAGGAAGGUAGAACUCCCGGUGUAGCGGUGAAAUGCGUAGAGAUCGGGAGGAAUACCAGUGGCGAAGGCGGCCUUCUGGACUGAAACUGACACUGAGGUGCGAAAGCGUGGGUAGCAAACAGGAUUAGAUACCCUUGUAGUC
rnacentral:rRNA from 1 species